UCUAUUAUGGCAGAUCAGUGCAAUGGAUUUAAGCUCCAUAAACAAAGUUUUACUUUUUUUAGAA
rnacentral:tRNA from 1 species